AACGAACGCUGGCGGCAGGCUUAACACAUGCAAGUCGAGCGGGUGUAGCAAUACAUCAGCGGCAGACGGGUGAGUAACGCGUGGGAACGUACCUUUUGGUUCGGAACAACACAGGGAAACUUGUGCUAAUACCGGAUAAGCCCUUACGGGGAAAGAUUUAUCGCCGAAAGAUCGGCCCGCGUCUGAUUAGCUAGUUGGUAGGGUAACGGCCUACCAAGGCGACGAUCAGUAGCUGGUCUGAGAGGAUGAUCAGCCACAUUGGGACUGAGACACGGCCCAAACUCCUACGGGAGGCAGCAGUGGGGAAUAUUGGACAAUGGGGGCAACCCUGAUCCAGCCAUGCCGCGUGAGUGAUGAAGGCCCUAGGGUUGUAAAGCUCUUUUGUGCGGGAAGAUAAUGACGGUACCGCAAGAAUAAGCCCCGGCUAACUUCGUGCCAGCCGCCGCCGUAAUAC
rnacentral:rRNA from 1 species